rnacentral:tRNA from 1 species
GGGGAAAUAGCUCAGUUGGUUAGAGUGCUGGUCUGUCACGCCAGAAGUCGCGGGUUCGAACCCCGUUUUCCUCG